CUUCUGGUCGGGGAAGAGAAGGGGCUCCGAUUCCCGCCAGGGGGCGAAUACUGUACCCUGAAAACGUCUUGACAUCUUGAAGCAAUCAGCGGCUGCGAAAAGGCACGUGCCUCCGGCAGCCAAGGGACAAGCGAGACGUGACAGCAGCAAGAGUCUUGAGUGCCAGGCCUGGAUCGCUUCCAUUUCCCUGCACAGCAAACUGUGUCUCUGUGUGAAUUUAAAGCACAGAAUGGGCAACAGGGUGGUGUUUAUGUGUGCCAAAUAUUUUCCCUGGCCAGGCCUCUUCCCUCUAACGUUGCUUCUGCCUGAUUUUCUCUCUGCGGGGCUAACUCCCACUAUGGGCCCCUUUCGACACCCCCUUUUAUUAUGGCACAUUCAAAAUCAUUUGUGUUCAUGAGGGGAUCGGGCCAGUUAUACCAGUGG